rnacentral:rRNA from 1 species
CGCAUCUGUGCAUGCAGCAUAUCAAUAAGCGGAGGAAAAGAAACUAACAAGGAUUCCCCUAGUAACGGCGAGUGAAGCGGGAAGAGCUCAAAUUUGAAAUCUUAAAGGGUUUCCCUUUACGAAUUGUAGUUUAAAGAAGGUGUUUUCUGUUGAGGUUUUGGUAAAAGUUCUUUGGAAUAGGACAUCAUAGAGGGUGAGAAUCCCGUAUUUGACCUUUACUUUCAACUUUGUGAUACACUUUCAAAGAGUCGGAUUGUUUGGGAAUGCAGUCCAAAAUGGGUGGUAAAUUUCAUCUAAAGCUAGAUAUUGGCGAGAGACCGAUAGCGAACAAGUACCGUGAGGGAAAGAUGAAAAGAACUUUGAAAAGAGAGUUAAACAGUACGUGAAAUUGUCAAAAGGGAAGCGUUUGACACCAGUGUUGUUUUUCUGAAAUCAAUUAAAGAACUGUUUAUGCUAAGUUGUUUAGACUUUAUCAGCUAAUCUGUUUAGUUUUGAGCUUUUCUUUAAUGCACUUUUCAGUUAACAAGUCAACAUCAAUUUCUUUUGCUGUAAAAAAGCUUGAGGAAGGUGGCUUGAGAUUCGUCUUAAGUGUUUAUAGCCUCUUGCCUAUGCAGUCGGAGAGAUUGAGGUCUGCAGCGUAGAUCCUUCGGGGCUAAAUGCAUUUGUGCUAAGUUAUAGCAUUUUAUAGACAACUUGUUGACUAUGAUUUGUCUUGUAGCUUACUCGCUUAUGUUAUUUUACCUACGCUUAGGAUGUUGAACGCGCACAGAGUCUC